rnacentral:misc_RNA from 1 species
CCGCUCUCUCGCGAGGCCGCCGCGUUGGGCACCGCCUCAGUGUGCCCGCAACCUCCGCGCAGGGAACUCCUCCACGCCGCCUCCAGCGCCUCCACCACCGCCGCAGCCGCAGCCGCAGAGAUGCCCAAGCCCAAGGAGGUAGGCGAGGAAAUUGACGACGGCCUCCGACAGCCUCCUGAGAAGAUCACGCACAGCUUCAACGAGGAGUUCUUCGCUAUGGCGGCGCUGUGCCUCGCCUCCGCCUUCGCCUUCUUCUGCUGCCCGAUCUUCAUGGAGCGACCGCAGCAGUAAAGCGUCGCUCGCGUUCCCGUACCUGUGAUACAGCAUGUGCCCGCUCGACCAGCUGCCUUUGGAGGAGGGCAAGGAAGUCUCACCGCGCGCCGUGGCCUGAAGGAGGCAACAACACAGCUGCAAUUGCAAUGUAACAUCAUCUCAUCACAAGGUGGGGGGGGGGAUCGCCAGAGGUUUCCCGGAAGUCAUAUAACAAGGGGCCAAAAAAAAUGAAGGAAAAAUUUGGUGAAGCAGUCAUGUUGUUAAGGAAACUCUGGUACUCUACAAGGAAAGGCAUUGUAUAUACCAAUCAGGAGACGGCGAUUAACCCACUGCAAGAAAACUGACAUCACCAAAAACAUUCAAAGAUUAACAGGGAGUUAGGAAAUCAAACCAACUUUAUAUAUAAAAGAAAUGUAUCUUAACAUGCACACAUCCCUCAUAAAGUGUCUAUUCUGUGGAUCAACGAUUGUUCAGAGUAGAAAGGAGGUUUUACAGAAAACUUUAUUUCCACAUCGAAUCCAGGUGUUUCAAAGGUUAGCCAGUGUUUGUCUAUAAGCUUUAAUGUAACCCUAUAACAUGGUGUGAAUGAUAGUGUCAUUGUUACCAUGAUUAUUUUUCUUCUUUCUUUCCCUCAUAGUAUCAUGUUAGAUUUUUUUUUUUGUUAAGUGUGUGAAGGUAUGUCUGUUCAUCCUAUAUCACUUUAUUUGUUGUUUUUAAUAAAUGUUAAGAGUAUUGAA